rnacentral:rRNA from 1 species
GGGGGUCUAUACAUGCAAGUCGAGCGGACCGACGGGAGCUUGCUCCCUUAGGUCAGCGGCGGACGGGUGAGUAACACGUGGGUAACCUGCCUGUAAGACUGGGAUAACUCCGGGAAACCGGGGCUAAUACCGGAUGCUUGAUUGAACCGCAUGGUUCAAUCAUAAAAGGUGGCUUUUAGCUACCACUUACAGAUGGACCCGCGGCGCAUUAGCUAGUUGGUGAGGUAACGGCUCACCAAGGCGACGAUGCGUAGCCGACCUGAGAGGGUGAUCGGCCACACUGGGACUGAGACACGGCCCAGACUCCUACGGGAGGCAGCAGUAGGGAAUCUUCCGCAAUGGACGAAAGUCUGACGGAGCAACGCCGCGUGAGUGAUGAAGGUUUUCGGAUCGUAAAACUCUGUUGUUAGGGAAGAACAAGUACCGUUCGAAUAGGGCGGUACCUUGACGGUACCUAACCAGAAAGCCACGGCUAACUACGUGCCAGCAGCCGCGGUAAUACGUAGGUGGCAAGCGUUGUCCGGAAUUAUUGGGCGUAAAGCGCGCGCAGGCGGUUUCUUAAGUCUGAUGUGAAAGCCCCCGGCUCAACCGGGGAGGGUCAUUGGAAACUGGGGAACUUGAGUGCAGAAGAGGAGAGUGGAAUUCCACGUGUAGCGGUGAAAUGCGUAGAGAUGUGGAGGAACACCAGUGGCGAAGGCGACUCUCUGGUCUGUAACUGACGCUGAGGCGCGAAAGCGUGGGGAGCGAACAGGAUUAGAUACCCUGGUAGUCCACGCCGUAAACGAUGAGUGCUAAGUGUUAGAGGGUUUCCGCCCUUUAGUGCUGCAGCAAACGCAUUAAGCACUCCGCCU